AUAAAUACUGUGAAAAGAAAUAGUAUGUAUUUGAAGUAGUAUAGAGAACUCUUGGUUGGUGGAAAAGAGUCUACCUAUAAUACUGAAUUCGUCUUGGAGUAGAGGACUGAAAGUUUUUAGUAGGUCUCUCCGGUAACACCCGUUAGCGUGUAAGAGUAUGUACUAAUUUUAUUAGCGUACUUGAUGAGGUUAAUAUAGUAAUAUAUUAAUAAAAUAAGGUGGUAUCACGAAGCAUAGCUCUCGUCCUUUUU
rnacentral:ncRNA from 1 species